AAUAAGGCUGGGUUGAUGAAGAAUAAGCCCUCUGAAAAGGACCGAGUCUGUAUGGUAGUUCGAAAUAUUCUUCCUAGUUAGGUCGAAAGGUUUCAAAUGAUGAACUCGAAGACUUUCAUGGACUUAUAUGAUGAUGGACUUUAGGUCGAGGAAAUUGAAAAUAACAAGCGGAAGAUUGUGCAAAUCGGAGGAAAGCCGAAUUAUCAAGCUUGAG
rnacentral:lncRNA from 1 species